GACUUUAUUGACAGCAACGCUCCCGGCUUCUACCAGAAGCGGGUUAAAGUAGGGGAAAGGCGACAUCACAUCUUUGCCACUGAAGAUCAACUGCGACUUUUGGCAAAGGCUAAAACGUGGUACAUGGACGCCACCUUCCGAGUUAUCAACAAACCAUAUUCUCAAUUAUUUUCUAUCCACGCUUUCGUAAAAGCCGGGGAAACCACGAAGCAGGUACCACUUGUCUUUUGUGUAAUGUCCGGGAAGAGUCAGGACGAUUACUACAAGGUUCUCCGGGCAGUGGACAAGAUGCUACCAAGCCAGAUUGCCUUGGAGGGAUUUGUGGUGGAUUUUGAGGCGGGGUUAUGGCAGGCCCUUAGACGCCGUUUUGUAGAUAUAAGAAUUCAAGGAUGCGUGUUUCAUUGGACCCAGGCCGUUUUCCGGAAAAUUCAAGAAAAGGGAUUCCAGACAGCGUACAACGAAAAGGGGGACGUGUUUAAUUAUUUGAGGCGAUUGAUGGCUCUCCCUUUCCUGCCCGAAGAACACGUGGCGGGCAUGUUUGCCCAUUUGAAAGACAGGUGCCCAGAACAGUUAGAGCCGAUAUGUACAUACAUAGAAGAUCAAUGGAUUUCAUCUCGUCUGUUUCCAAUAGAAGAUUGGUGCGUGUUUAUGUUGCCAGUGAGAACCAAUAACGACGUGGAGGGCUGGCACAACAGACUAAAUUCCCGUGUCAACGCCAGAGGUCCUGUGCCAUUUUAUCUAUUGAUUUGCGCACUUUUUUCAGAAGCUACAAAGAUACCACUGGACCUCACAAUGAUGUCGGAAGGUUCAUUGAGACGACACCAAAGACGUCGGUAUCGACAUGUAGAAGGCCAACUUUUUAAUAUAUGGGAUUCAUACAAUGAAAAACAGAUGAGCACUAGUAGACUAUUAAAAAAAAUAAGUCAUUUGUAUGGUCCACCCGCUCAGUGAAAAACAAUUACAUAAUUAAAAAAAUGAAAAAAAAAAAAAAAAAAAUGAAUAGCCGACUAAAGCUAUUUUUUCAUCAAAUAAAUACACGUGUUGUUAUAAAUGUUGCGUUAAUGUAUGAAUGUGUAUGUAUUUAUACAAUAAAUGAAUGUUUUAUAUGACCGUUGUUAUCGCUAUAUGGUAUGUUUAAAAAUAAAAUAAUAUGCCCGUUGUUAUAAAUCGAUGUUAUCAUUUUAUGCUAUGUUGAUAAAUAAAAUAGUUUAUAAAGUAAAUUGGCGUCAGUGUGUUGUAUAAUUCUAUCUUACCUACCCGAGUCCGAAACGUCACCUACCCGAGUCCGAAACGUCACCUACCCGAGUCCGAAAUGUCACCUACCCGAGUCCGAAAUGUCGGGGACAUAUUUUUUGGAGUCCGAAAUGACGUAAGUCCGAAAUGACGCGGGACCGAAAUGACAUGUAAUCAAAUC